UUCUCCAGACACAAGGCAGAAGGUCCAGCGUUAUGAUGUCAACAGUAAAGGUUGCCUUUCUGCUAAUCUUCACAGUCACUCUCCUCACGAUAAAUACCUCAAGAGCAUCAUACUACUAUCCAGGACACAGCACCGAGCAUCGGAGAUGCGGAAAACCUUGCAACGGAUUGAGAGACAUAUAUUCCUGUGGUCAUCGUGGCGUUUGCGGAGUAUUCUACGAUGGAGUCUCAGCUCGCUAUAUGUGCGGUCCUAAAUAUGUAGAGGCGAUACCAUACGCAGGAACGUCGGCAAAAUAACGAGACAAUGGGAACUGCAGCUGGUUCGAAUAAAUAAAAGAUCCUGUAUUUA